UGACAGCUGUCACAGAGAGAUGGUUCAUCCGAGUAAUUACAUGCUUUUCAUUUCGCAAUUUUAUUUUGUUGUGAAUUUUGGACAGGCUGGACCAUAUUUUUUCUCAAUGAAAUACUGCAUUGAUGAAAUGGCCCACUGCACAAAAA